UACGUAGGGUGCGAGCGUUAAUCGGAAUUACUGGGCGUAAAGCGUGCGCAGGCGGUUCGUUAAGUCAGCUGUGAAAGCCCCGGGCUCAACCUGGGAAUUGCAGUGGAUACUGGCAAGCUAGAGUGCGGCAGAGGAUGGUGGAAUUCCCGGUGUAGCGGUGAAAUGCGUAGAGAUCGGGAGGAACACCCGUGGCGAAGGCGGCCAUCUGGACCAGCACUGACGCUGAGGCACGAAAGCGUGGGGAGCAAACAUG
rnacentral:rRNA from 1 species